UCUGACUAUGUGACGCCGCGUGAGGGAUGAAGGUCUUCGGAUUGUAAACCUCUUUCGAUAGGGAAGAAAACCUGUUCUUAACGGAACAGACUGACGGUACCUAGAGAAGAAGCCACGGCCAACUCUGUGCCAGCAGCCGCGGUAAUACAGAGGUGGCGAGCGUUACUCGGAUUUAUUGGGUGUAAAGGGCAAGUAGGCGUCUUGACAAGUUAGGAGUGAAAUCCUGCAGCUCAACUGCAGAACUGCUUUUAAAACUGUCGAGAUUGAGACUGGGAGAGGAAAGCGGAAUUCUCGGUGUAAGAGUGAAAUCUGUAGAUAUCGAGAGGAACACCAGUGGCGAAGGCGGCUUUCUGGUCCAGUACUGACGCUGAAUUGCGAAAGCUAGGGGAGCAAACAGGAUUAGAUACCCUGGUAGUCCUAGCCGUAAACGAUGAGCACUAGGUGUUGGGGGUUUACCCUUAGCGCCGUAAGUUAACACGUUAAGUGCUCCACCUGGGGACUACGACCGCAAGGUUAAAACUCAAAGGAAUUGACGGGGGCCCGCACAAGCGGUGGAACAUGUGGUUCAAUUCGACGCUACGCGAAGAACCUCACCAGGGCUUGACAUGUAGGGAGUAGGAACCUGAAAGGGG
rnacentral:rRNA from 1 species